rnacentral:rRNA from 1 species
AGUGAACGCUGGCGGUAGGCCUAACACAUGCAAGUCGAACGGCAGCACAGUAAGAGCUUGCUCUUACGGGUGGCGAGUGGCGGACGGGUGAGGAAUACAUCGGAAUCUACUUUUUCGUGGGGGAUAACGUAGGGAAACUUACGCUAAUACCGCAUACGACCUACGGGUGAAAGCAGGGGAUCUUCGGACCUCGCGCGAUUGAAUGAGCCGAUGUCGGAUUAGCUAGUUGGCGGGGUAAAGGCCCACCAAGGCGACGAUCCGUAGCUGGUCUGAGAGGAUGAUCAGCCACACUGGAACUGAGACACGGUCCAGACUCCUACGGGAGGCAGCAGUGGGGAAUAUUGGACAAUGGGCGCAAGCCUGAUCCAGCCAUGCCGCGUGGGUGAAGAAGGCCUUCGGGUUGUAAAGCCCUUUUGUUGGGAAAGAAAAGCAGCAGGUUAAUACCCCGCUGUGCUGACGGUACCCAAAGAAUAAGCACCGGCUAACUUCGUG